rnacentral:rRNA from 1 species
GAGUUUGAUCGUGGCUCAGAACGAACGCUGGCGGCAGGCUUAACACAUGCAAGUCGAGCGCCCCGCAAGGGGAGCGGCAGACGGGUGAGUAACGCGUGGGUAACCUGCCUCUAAGAUUGGGAUAACUCGUCGAAAGAUGAGCUAAUACCGAAUAAGACCACAGUUCCUGCGGGGACAGGGGUCAAAGGUAGCCUCUGCUUGCAAGCUAUCACUUAGAGAUGGGCCUGCGCACCAUUAGCUAGUUGGUAGGGUAACGGCCUACCAAGGCAAAGAUGGUUAGCUGGUCUGAGAGGAUGAUCAGCCACACUGGAACUGAGACACGGUCCAGACUCCUACGGGAGGCAGCAGUGGGGAAUAUUGCGCAAAUGGGCGAAAAGCCUGACGCA